rnacentral:rRNA from 1 species
AUUGAACGCUGGCGGCAUGCCUUACACAUGCAAGUCGAACGGUAACAGGUCUUCGGAUGCUGACGAGUGGCGAACGGGUGAGUAAUACAUCGGAACGUGCCCGAGAGUGGGGGAUAACGAGGCGAAAGCUUUGCUAAUACCGCAUACGAUCUCAGGAUGAAAGCAGGGGACCGCAAGGCCUUGCGCUCACGGAGCGGCCGAUGGCAGAUUAGGUAGUUGGUGGGAUAAAAGCUUACCAAGCCGACGAUCUGUAGCUGGUCUGAGAGGACGACCAGCGACACUGGGACUGGGAGACGGCCCAGACUCCUACGGGAGGCAUCAGUGGGGAAUUUUGGACAAUGGGCGCAAGCCUGAUCCAGCCAUGCCGCGUGCAGGAUGACGGCCUUCGGGUUGUAAGCUGCUUUUGUACGGAACGAAAAGACUCUGGUUAAUACCUGGGGUCCAUGACGGUACCGUAAGAAUAAGCACCGGCUAACUACGUGCCAGCCGCCGCCGUAACAC